GCGGGAGUAGCUCAGUUGGUAGAGCACGACCUUGCCAAGGUCGGGGUCGCGAGUUCGAGUCUCGUUUCCCGCU
rfam:Bacteroidetes bacterium OLB12 TZ12_BCD005CONTIG000058, whole genome shotgun sequence.